GUUGAACGCUGGCGGCAGGCCUAACACAUGCAAGUCGAACGGUAACAGGAAGAAGCUUGCUUCUUUGCUGACGAGUGGCGGACGGGUGAGUAAUGUCUGGGAAACUGCCUGAUGGAGGGGGAUAACUACUGGAAACGGUAGCUAAUACCGCAUAACGUCGCAAGACCAAAGAGGGGGACCUUCGGGCCUCUUGCCAUCGGAUGUGCCCAGAUGGGAUUAGCUAGUUGGUGGGGUAACGGCUCACCAAGGCGACGAUCCCUAGCUGGUCUGAGAGGAUGACCAGCCACACUGGAACUGAGACACGGUCCAGACUCCUACGGGAGGCAGCAGUGGGGAAUAUUGGACAAUGGGCGCAAGCCUGAUGCAGCCAUGCCGCGUGUAUGAAGAAGGCCUUCGGGUUGUAAAGUACUUUCAGCGGGGAGGAAGGGAGUAAAGUUAAUACCUUUGCUCAUUGACGUUACCCGCAGAAGAAGCACCGGCUAACUCCGUGCCAGCCGCCGCAGUAA
rnacentral:rRNA from 1 species